UACGAACCACACAAACGUUAUUCGGAAUUACUGGGCUUAAAGGGUGCGUAGGCUGUGCGGAAAGUUGGGUGUGAAAUCCCCCGGCUCAACCGGGGAAUUGCGCCCAAAACUACCGUGCUUGAGGAAGACAGAGGUGAGCGGAACUUCGGGUGGAGCGGUGAAAUGCGUUGAUAUCCGAAGGAACACCGGUGGCGAAAGCGGCUCACUGGGUCUUUUCUGACGCUGAUGCACGAAAGCUAGGGGAGCAAACGGGAUUAGAAACCCGAGUAGUCC
rnacentral:rRNA from 1 species